CCAGUGUUUUCUGAACUCUCUCCCUCAAUGGCUUCUCCAAUAUAUAAAUUAAUUUAAAAGAGCAGCCAUGAGAGAUUGAGUUCAGAAAACUAUGG
rnacentral:pre_miRNA from 1 species